CAAAUGGUGGAGCAUGAGCUAUAAACAACAUUCAUAAUUUUCUGAAAAUGGGAUCUAUGCUAAGCAUGACUCAAUUCAUAUGUUAGGCCUUAGGGUCAGAUGAAUCUUUAGUUUAAAACUUAACUUUUUCCCCUUGAUUUUCAGGUGUGGUUGCAUACAUAGCUUACUAGGGACAUUACAUUGAGAUUUAGGAACUAAUUUCAUCUAAAAAAUCUUAGAUUGCAAGGUGCCUCAGUGCCUUAACUAUUUCUCUGUUCAUUUGGAUGUCGCUGACAAACUGAUCUUAGCUCGAAGAAAAAGGUAUGAAACAAUGAGAUUAGGGGGGAAGAGAAACGUGUCAUAUGAUUUGAUAUUCUUUCCAUUCCCCAUAGACUACACUGG
rnacentral:lncRNA from 1 species